UGCCAUUGCCUUCUCUGCCCAGGUAACUCUACUACUCCUUAAAAUGUGGAGUAAACCAUCCCUCCUCCCACCGUUAUCUCUGGAAAUGAAUCAGAUUAGAGGCAGCUGAUCUCCACGGCUUGAUUAGCUACUUGCUCUUGAUUGUACCUGCGAUAAUCUCAGUUUCUGACCCAUCUUGGCUUUUGGACUUUCCAGCUUUUUUUGAAAUCUGUCUUUGUGACUGAAUAAAUCUUACUCUUGGACUGGUUUUCUUCACCAUGGCUCCAGGUAUUCGACUGAGGCCUCCUCCGUGCUCCAGUCUACCUGUGUGAGGCAGGCUCUGAAGCUUGAAAUUGGCCACAGAGGGAGUAUUUACACCAUGGAAAUUGCAAAUGCUACAGUUCCAGGGUGUCACGGGAAGAAGGAAGAAGAUGAAGGAGUAGAGAGGAAAAAGCAGUUUUUGAGACAAGAGACCACGGAAAAAACGCCAAAACACCAGGAAUUCCCUGUGCUUUCUGAUUUCUUUUGGGGGUGGAGAGGAGCACCAUGAGGGCCCCACUGUGUGUGUGAUGAUGAUACCACACUGCCCCACUUUUAUCUCCCUUGUCUCAGGCAGAAGUUCAUCCUGACCUUAUUCCUUGGGAGCUUGUUCAGAGGGUGAUUCUGUGCUCUGCUCUCCUCCUGGGUGAUGCCUGGCCUCGGGGUACCCCUGGCCCAGGCCCCUGCCUCCUUCCUCUUCUGUGGGCUUUGCUUGCCUGUGUGUAGGGGAUGGGUCCUCUCAGAGGUCAGCCUGCGAUGGAGAGGCUUUCCCUUUGGGCCUCAGAACUUUAUUGAGCAUUUGCUCCCUUUUUAUUGCCAGCCUUUGGCAAAGCAAGCUCUCAGGGCUGAAAUCCAGCUGAGGAGAUCUGAUUUCUCAAAAGCCAUUUUGAUCUUUUUCACUUCAAAGAGAGUUCUUUUCACGCCAGAGCCCCAGUCUGGUGGCCCCAGAUCUGCACCUCUGGGCUGGGGGUCUGGACGGGGCCUCUGGUCUCCUCCUUCCAUCCUGAGAGUAGAGCCCAGGAAAUGGCACUGGGGCCACCAGGAGAAGCUUGUGAGAGAGCAGGAUUUAUCCCCUGAGACCCUGGUCUCUGGCACCGGCAGGUGCCCUGCCUUUUCGUCUUUCUAGUUCUGCCGCAUUUAAAUCCCAAUAUUUAAAGUCUUUCUAUUGCCCUGUCAGCAUCUUAUCAAAACUUGCUCUGAGCCAGGGAGUGUGUGUGUGUGUGUGUGUGUGCGUGCGUGCGCGCGUGUGCGCACGUUCUUGUUGCUCAGUCAUAGCCGACUCUUGGCAACCCCACGGACUGUAACCCACCAGACUCCUCUGUCCAUGGAAUUUUCCAGACAAGAAUACUGGAGUGGGUUGCUAUUUCCUACUCCAAGGGAUCUUCCCAACCCAGGGAUACAUCAACUAUACCUCAAUAAAAAAGCCUUGCUCUAAAGUAGAGCCUAACUUUGGGGGUCUCCUCCUUUGACGAGCCUUCCCUGCUAUUCUUCCCUCCCCCACCAUAGCAAGGUGAGGUGCCUAUCACACUUUGUGUAAUUAUCCCUUUCCUGUCCAUGGCCCUCAAGAGAAUGAUGAGGUCCUUGAAGAAAGAGGCUGUUAUUCCUGUACCUGUGGUCCUAGAAUCUAGCACAAAGCCAGGCACACAGUGGAAUUUCAAUGCAUGUCCAGUAAAUUAAUGAAUUCCUUCCUGCAGCUGUUACAAACUGUCCUAGGAGUUUGGCUGAGAUGGCUUAAGGGUAACCUGGCUUGAGGGAAGGGCAGACACGGGGAGGCGAACAGGGGGAGUGGGGGAUAUUCUCUUCUCCCACUAUCUUCUGCCCACCAAGAAAUUUCCGAUCUGGCCCUUGCUUUGUCUACAGUAAGUUUACUUUGAUCUCCUUUAUAUUUAU